rnacentral:tRNA from 1 species
UAGAUCAGAGCCGUAUAUGGUAUUUAGUUGUUAACUAAAAGGUUGUAGGAUAAAAGCCUGCUGGUCUAG